AUCUAGGUAGCUUAAUCUAAAGCACAUCUCUGAAGAAGAUAAGAUGAGAAUCUCCCUAGAUA
rnacentral:tRNA from 2 species